CUCAGUGACGAGUAGACGCGCGCGCUUCAACCAACCACACGACCGAACUUAUAGUGUAACGUUUUAAUUAAGUGCUUAGUUCAAAGUUGUGGUAUACGUGUGAAUUUAUUUUGGAUCGCACAGAGAUAUUUUCGAGUAGUAUUAGAGUUUCAUCACUACAUAGUUCUAACAAUAUUUUUCUUUGUUGUCUACUGAUGUAACUUCUUAGAGAUUGCUCGUUUUAUCAAGUGUACAGCAGUAUGGAGCAUUUUUCCUAUCCACUGACAGAAUCUACGCACCAUUUACCAAUCCAGACUGACACUUAUCUGUAUAGUUGAAAAGUUCCGAAGAUGGUGAAAUAAUAGUGUAGUGUAGAAUAAGUGAUAAUGAGCUUAUAAGUUAAGUGAAUGUUGAAUGACAGGGAGAUGCCUUACUACGGAUAUCGUGAAGGUUCGGACUCCAGUGGGGGUUGUUCGGAGUCUGAGGGGGACUCAGAUUCUGAUGGGGGCUUGAGCACGGAGAGUACUGUAGGCCAAGGUCUGCCAUUCCCCGGCUUUACUCCUGUGGCCCUGAGGUACUUAACACAGGACACGAGGCCCAGAAGUUGGUGUUUGAAGCUCAUCACCA